UAUCCUUCUCCGCCUUGGCUAGAUCAAGUGUUAGUAUCUUUCUAUCAAGUUUAAUAUCUGAACGUUCCCCCACGGGGACUAUUAGGGACUACAUAUUAAAUAUUUUUCUAACAGGAGUCGCGAAAUGGGCUUGCUCCUGCCGCUCCACGCAUCGACCCCGAAUUCAUACCUCCCGGGAACGGUUGCAACACCU
rnacentral:snRNA from 1 species